GAGGCCGCCAUGCAGCAGGUGAAAGAACCCCACGCCAGACUGUGGAGAGAGAAACCAGCAGACAGCUGGGUUAAGACAGUAGCUCACGUUAUAUUUCUGAAGGCAAGAGACACACAUACACAGAUGUGACCGGGCAGGGUCAUUUCUAGCAUUCCUGGCUUACAUCCAGUCUCUGAAAGCCCAGCCAGAACAGAAGACAGCAUUUCCAUUUUGUGGAGAGCCCCAACCUGAGGGCCAUGACCCAAGCAUGCAGGCAGUGCUAGCCAGCCUUGGGCAGCCCGUGGCAGCGCACAUGCAAGUGACAACGAGGAGCACAGGGAGACAGCAGGAGAAGGAAGUGGAAAUAAAGAAGUGACCGUGGCAGUGCCUGGCUGGAGCAGCAGUGUUAGCAUGGGGCUCCCAGCAUGAAGAACUCCUUUUGUUUGCAGAACUUAUCUGUGUUCAGGCUCCCCUGGACAUCGCAUUCAGCCCAUCAGCUCCAGGGGCCAAGCUUGGACAUCCAUCAGUCCUCUGACCUGCUGAAAUUCCCUGCCUGGAGGACCCCCUGCCCCACUGCUGACUUGUGCCAGGCUUUGCCAAAGGCUUGGGAAUGGGAGACAGCUACUGCUGGAAAUGCUCUGAAAGCUCCAGUGAAGGCUUUGCUGUACUUUCAUGCCUCCUGUUCUACUGAGGAGGUGUGUGCAGAGGAAAGGUGUGACUGAGAGCUUGCUGUUUGACAUCGUAUUGGAUCCUCAAUUAAGAGAAAAGUUAAAGAAAACCGCUGAAGCAAAUACUGCACAAUUAGCAUCACCACCAACCUCGCUGCUGCAAAACAAGGGUAUGCCACCCACCAGGCAUCUCACAGCCCGUCUCACACAAGCCUCAGAUGGAUGCUUCAGCAAUGUUCAGCCCAUUCGCUGAGUGGGAGGCCAAGAUGACAGUCCAUUGACUCAGGUGGGAUUGUUCUGAAGCUGAACACCACAGACUGUGGAACUACUCCUGGAGGGAGGGGGUCUCAGUCUUCAGGACAACCCUCUGGAAAAGCUAAAGCACUGAUUGCUGAAACUUGAGGAACUCGAGUGCAUCGUAACCAUCUGACAAGAUCAGUCCCUUGCUCUUCUGUCAGACAGUGGAGGGCAGCAUCAAGUAGGUUCAUAGGUACUAAGUGCGUAUCUUCAAAAGUGGUGAUCAUGUUGAGUGCAACUGCUGCACAGUGACAACAUGUUAACAAAAGGAUGCUGCGGGCAAUUCUGGAAUGGAAAAAUGAGGCAAGCAGAAUUUAUUUUGGACGAUGAGAUAAAGAGGCUUUACCUCAGCCUGUAAUGAGUCUCAAGGAUGAAAAAUUCUUCACAAAACUUGAAUUUAUUCAAGUAUGUCAACCUUGAGCAUCAGGCAAGGCACUGUAAAUGAACACACUAUUACCUCUCAGCAAGCAGCAUCCUGAAUGAGAAGUUUUCAAUGCUGAGUUUCCUUUGAAAAAGGAACCCUGAAAAAUGUCACAGAAAUGAUGCUUAGAAGAACCCCAGGCAUCAUACCACAUUUUGAUGAAUUCCUGAUUAAGCAGUCCAAAGAACAGUGUGGUUAAUGACUUCUAGAAGCUUUGAGCAGGUUUUGAGACUGUACAGUAUCCAACUGAAGAAGUAGAAAUAUGAAACUGCAGCAACUGCUGCUGUCUUUAUAGGGUAUUCUGGUGGUUUGCAUCUGCCCUUUUUUCAUUUGGAGUAAGAAAAACCAAGGGUUGUUCAGAGUACUCUGAGCAGAAGUACAAAUCAAAGCAUCGAGUACUCUUUGUACAAACCCACUGCAAUUUCCUGUCCAAAAAAAUAAGCAACAAUUGUGACCGCAACUUUUAUAUGAGAGAGAGCUCUGGUUAAAUUGACUUCAAGAAUGUGAAGAAAUUAUUGAUAUUGAUAUUGCAGUUGGGUGCUUUUUCUCCACAACAUGCAAAGAUGAUUCCUGGCUGUCUUGUGUUAGUAAAGCCGUUCUCAGACUUGUUUGCAGUUGGGGCUGAAAUACCCAGAAUUCAAUGCCAUCUGAAUGAGAUUGUGUGUGCUGAUGAAGAAGCCUUUGCCUCUGUUUAUGGAACCACAAAAUUCCGUAACUUCAUCUACUGCUGUGCUUUUGAGAAUAAUACAGCUGACAAACCAGUUCUAGAGAGUAUAAAAACACAUCUAUGCCUCCAAUUGCAUGCGUACACGAACAUGAAUGCCCAGUGUGUAUGAUUAUGUAUUUGUUGGAAAUUCAGAAAGUUGAUUUGUGAUGCCAGCUCCUUGUGCCAACAGUUUCCCAUGCCAGAUUGCAAGUCCUGUCUCCAGAUGAAAUAACGAUAUUUAAAUCCCCUCCUGGCCUGUUUCUCCAGGUGGUCAGGUCAUGAAAUUGACUGUCAAAGAUCCAGUAUUAGUGCUUGUUCUCAAGGCAACACUGAAGAGGCGGCUGACAGUGGAAUGGCUGUUAAGAGUUCAAAGCAUUUUUAAUCCAUAAACAUGAGCUGUUUGCUCGUAAAGAAUCUCUUCUGGGAAAAUCGUACCGCUAUUCCUGAAGGAGACUGCUGAGUCACGUUAACUGUGUUAUAUGCGGUGCGGGCAGGAAUUGUGUGCAUGGAGAUGUUAGUCAUGCAUUUUGGCUGGUGGCUUGGAAAUGUGCUCCCUGCCAAGCCAGUGACACCGCUUCCUGAAUGCCCUGGUAUUCCAUGAGUGAUGCGCAAGGAGCCGUGGCCCAGAGUCUGUACUGAUUCCUGUGGGCCUUUUCCAACAGAAACUUAGCUUCCUAAUUAUGGAAAACUUAUAUUCAGAAUAUCGCAGUGGGAUUUUAUCCUCCUCGGAAACACCUCCUGCCUCUGUGCUCCCCACUGAACAUCGUAUGUGGUUACUGCUCACCAGACGUUCUAAUGGUAGAAGUGCCCUCCCGGCUGAUGGAUUCAAGGAUCUGACCAAAACAGCCUCAUUUGGUAUGUGACUCUGUGCCGCGCUGUCCCUGCGCGAGUCAUAAUACUGGGCCAAUGUGUGGACAGCUAAAGAGAUCUUAAAAAGCUUUAAUACCUGCCAGGUUCCUCAUAAUUCAGCGCUAAACAUCUGCUCUGACAGUCAGAAGGAAUUCUUCCGAGCUAUGAUGAGACAUCAUCUCACAUCGCUCCUCUGUCAACUCAAACUUGAUCUGUCUGGAAGUUUCUGAUCCAAGCAGUCUUUUUCCUCCAUCACAUUUCAUAUGACAAAAAGCCUCUGUAUGGUAGAAGCAGUGGGACUGAGCAAUGUGUCUGCUGCAUCAGUGGAAAUCCAGUUAUUUCUUUAACAUUAUUUUCUAUAAUAUUCAAUUCCAGAACUAGUAGUGCGAUGCUACUAGUGCACUGACAGCUCCUUCAAUGUUCAUGGAAUAGAUGCUGCUUUUCUGAGCAGUGAAUUGGUGUUUUCAUAGAAGUGUCUGUCACCACCCCAAGAACUUUAUCCUGAGAGGUUAAAGCUAAUUCAGAACCCAUUACUAUAUAUGUAAAGGUCAAACAAGCGGCUGCACGAUUCCCCCUCACAAAGAGACAUUUGGGACCUGAAAAUAAGUGUCACUGUGACUUUCUGACUAUAAAUGUCUCCAUGGCCUGGGGAAACUAUGCAGAGUGUCCUUCCUUAGUAGAGGAAGCAGGGAAAUGUCUGUAUUACAAUAUAAAUCUUAAUUUACUUGGGGAAAAAAACCCACCAAACAAACAGCUGAAUGAAAAAAAAUGCAUCAGAGAAAUGACAGGUCUGUAGGAACUAAGUAAACAGCUGUCUUAACCCCUCGGCUGAAAGUAAUCGGGAUGACAUAAGCCGGAGCAAGGUCAAUAAAACUUCGACAUUUUUCACCUUUAAAAGAAAAGGAUUAUUUUAGGAGACAGAAGGUGUUCGGUUUUGCUCUGCCUCCUCUUUCUGAGUGGUGUUCCUUCCUGCCAUCGCUCCCACCUGAGACUCUAUGGGACCACCAUGUAUUCUCAGCCACAGAGCAGACGUUUACUGGGCCUCCUUCCUGGGUAAACUAGUUAUCCUCACAAGGCUGGAGUAUGAAAAAGCCCAUCUAGGUUCUGGUUCUGAAAAAAGGACAUUCCUAUGCCACUUAUCAGGAGAAAACUUGAUGGCAGAGAAGGAGCCACUUCAUUCACAGCUCACAAACACUGGACUGUCAUUUACAAGCAUGGAUGAGCAGUACUCCACAGAGUCUGCCUACAAUAGAUGUGCAUGUAUUUGUAAUUUAGAAGGGAUCUUCAGACUGAACCAGCCAGAGAGUAGAAGACAUAUCUGGAAAUACCCAUGGUCUGAGCUGGUGGCUGGAGAGAAGAUGUGGGCAGUUUGUUACUGGUGAUCUUGAAACUCUCUCAGAUGGAGAGGGAGAGGAGCUGCUGGAGGGCUGCCGGUGUUCCUGUGGGUGCUGCUACAGGCACAGCUCUCUGCAUUGGUCUGUGUGGCCAGCAGAGAAGCAGGUUGAGUCUUCAGGCUCCCUUCUUCUGAUCUUCCAAGACAGGAUCAAGGAACGUCUUGUGAUGCUGCUCUAGCAUGGAUAAAGGACGAAAAGGAUUCACUAACUACUUCUGAUGAAGAGGAAACCAAAUGUUUACCUCAUGUGUCUUCCGAGGGAGAGCAAAGGCAGUAUCUUCUCAGCCCUCAGCUUUCCACAGAAACUCUGGCUACUCACUGAAAGUGACUAAUUUAAGAUAAUUUGGUGGAAUCGUGAUGGUGGUGCAAUCGAUGAAGAAAUGUUUAAGGUUGGAGUACUGCGAAGUGAAGGACCUUUCAGAGUUUUUCAGACUGAAAACAUGAAAAGCUUCAUUUGUUAACUUAAUCUGUAUGGGUUCACCAAAGAUCUCCCUCAGUUGCUGAAUUUCCAGCAGAGGAAGAAGCAUUUGCUGCUCACAGAAAGUCUCAAAUUUAUAGCAACUAACCCAUCUCCUUUGCUGCUGCUUUUGCUCUUCCACCUUACAUGGUGCCUGGUUUUACCACUGGCCCUCCCCAGCAGGAGCUUCCCUGGCACCCACAAGCACCACCAGAGCAGCAGGAUCCUUGGGCUCUGUUGAGAGGUAAGUUGAGAGGUCAUGGAUAGAUACUUCUUGAAAGACGUUUCAGUAAUAAACCUCCUCCAUUCUCUAUUUGUUUAUUUAUCUGUUUAAUGGUUCUGAAAAUAAAACGUUUGAAUAAUGAGCCUUUUCAGGUUUCAUGCCCUUUUAGUCAUUCAUUUAUUUAUUUAAUGGUGAAAUCUCAGAUUGAUUCUGUAUUUUGUCUCUCAAAAGGAAGUAGAAGCAAUGGUUCUAACACCAACCUAAUGGUUUUCUGUAAGAAUCAAGCUCUAGAUUCUUAGCUGUAGCGAUAUAUAAAUAAUCAGUAAGAACAACAAAAUACUUUCAAUUUCAAGUUUAAGGUUAAGAGGUAAAGUGAUUACUGGAGGAGUGGGAGCCUUGGAUUUUACCACAUCAACCUGUAUUUUUUCUUUACAGUUGACACUCUAACAGUAUUUCUUCCCUGGCUUGCCCACGUAUCUGCUCUGAUCCUCUUAUUUGUUGUGAUUCAGGCUGCCUGCUUCAAAGCAAACUCCAGAAACUUCUCCCACCUUCCCUACCCCUCCUUUUUGGGUUGAGGCAUCCUGAGUUUCUAAGCGGGCACGCCCAACUCAGAGUAUGGAAACAGACAACCUUAACCUUCCAGCCACGGAUGUUUUAACAAAGAGAAGGAGAAAGGCAGUAAAACAGAGUACACUGCAAAAGGAUAUCCAGUUUUUGAAAUCAGGUGGAAAAAAUGUAUGUAUUUUUGUAAACUUUAUUCCUAAGCUUGUACCUAAAGAACUCUGCAACAAAGUCUCAUUUAAUAUUUUUUUUUGGUCUGGUCAGAUAACGCAGAAUGAAAUCAGUCUGAAUGACAGGUAUUUUCCUCUCCAAAUCUAGUGAGUCUGAUCAUUGUGGAGUGAACCUGAUUCCCAGCAAGCACGGUUUAUGUCCUUCCCUCCCCCGUGCCCCAUGAGGCAGCCAAGUGCAAGGUGGAACAGCUUAAAGUGAAUUUUUGUUUGACUGUGACUAUUCAUACAGGCCACGUCAUUCCAUAGUAAUAACAUCUGCUCCUCAUUAUUUACUGCCGUCUGCAGUCUUUAAAUCAUUGGCAAGUUAGAUCAGCGAAGAUUUAUAUUACCAUUUAGAUUACCAACAAGAAUACUGAAUAACAUUACAGCAAAGCAUGAUUAACAGUGGAUCAUGCUAGAAGUGACCCUACUCCCUGAUAAUUCCCUAUUUUGAGAUCUGUCAGGUAAGUCGAUUUUUAAUUUUACCUAUUUUAGCUCUGCUAAUUCCACAUAAAGAAAAACUUUAAAUUAGGAAUUAGUCUGGUGUAAUUUAAAUGCAGGAGGAUACUGUGAUGAUUGAUAUUCCAUCCCGUAUUUAUUUCUGUAGUCCUGAAUGCAUCUGAUCAUAUUUUGCAGUAACUGGCACUGAGGAAACAGUCUCACUUAUCCAUCCAGAUGAUCAUUUGUAUCUCUUUGAAAAAUGGGACCUAUGUGUUUAUCUUCCCCUUCUUUGAAGUUUAUUCCAGCUACAAGCAACGAAGAAAGCCCCUCAGACAGCUGGGUUAAGUGGCUGAGAAUGGACUCAUCCAAAGAGAAAGCGAUGUAGUUAGUGUGGAAAGGAGUGGUGCCUUGCCUUGGCCCUUUGCUCUGUUACCAGUCUCAGCACGCAGGGAUUUUACAUUUGCAAUUUAUGAUGGGUGUUCGCACAGCUAGUCUGUCUAGCAGGAUCAGGAGGACCUCAAAUCCAGAAUUCCCAGUGCAUCACAGACACAAAACAUCCCCAUUAUUCUCUAAAAACCUGAAGGUCUGUAAUAAAGCAAUGACCACAGAAAACUACCGCUGUCAUGUACCACAAGAAAAGAAGAAAAAGAACCAUUGUGAGGAAGACUAACAGAUAUGAGCACUCCUAUCACACUGGUUCAAUUCCUAUGGUCAGGGCUGUCCUACCCUACAAGCAAAACCUCAGGAUUUGUUAAGAGGAAUCACAGGUGCUUUCCUGAAAUUGACCUUUCCCCUUGUUCUAAAAGAAGGCAAAAAUCCAUUACCAUCCUUGUUAUCUAACCUGGAGGAGGUUUCUCUUCUGAUCGCAAAUUAGAUCAUCAAUUUAAUGUUCGGUGCAUGAACAGACAUACCAAUUAGAUUCUGAGAAGCUGUAAUAAUGUGGAGAGCAGAAAAGCACCCUUGCACGGUCUCCAUCUGUAGCCAAUUUCUGAUGCUUUAGAGAAGGCAUAAAACCCUCCAGAAAAUACGACGUGCAUCAAGCCAGCAGCUAUUUUUUCUUGGCUCCUAUCAAUGACCAGUGGAAACCCUGAAGCAUGGAUGCAGUGUAAUUUAAUACAAUAUAAACAUGGCGUGACAAAAGGCAGUCAAACCAAGAUGGCUUCUUUCAGACCCCUUCAAGAUACCAACAAAUCAGUUAUGCAGGCUUCACUCCAAGCUUCCUCGUGCCAGAAACAUUGCUCUUUUGUCACAGAGCUCUUUCUGUAAAUGUAAGAAGUAUCAGUAUUUCAGUGAUUUCCUUUGCUCACACUGCCCUCUGUGGCGGUGAAUUCCAGAUGACACGCUUUCUGAGAACCCCUCCUUGCAUCUUCAUUUUUUUCCUCAGUGAUAAAUAACUUAAAUAAUGUUCUUUUUUUGAUAUUUGAAUAUGUACGCAUGCGUGUGUAUAGACGUGUACAUGAUACCAUCAUAGCCCCUCUAGAUAUCUGAUUUGUUCUAUGAAAGAGGACCACUUUUUUCUUGUCUUGAAGGAGAUUCUCUUCUCAAAUACCUUAGAAAUCCCACAGUGCAUCUAUUUUGCACUCCCUUUUUCUUACCCUAACUAUUCAUGAUGGUGUUAACAAAAAAAAUGCACAGCGGUGCUGACCCUUCCAUAGAAUAACAGUUUUCCUUUCUAUUGCAGCACUCUGGCAGCUGGCAGUCACCUCACAGACAAAUGCUGGCCCACAACUUGUUUCUUAUCUUUUGCCUGCCACUGAGUACCAGUGACCUCAGGGAAUUAUGUAAUUUAUGCUUUUAAAUUUAUUUAUUUCAAUACUGUUCUUAGUUCUCUGUCGUACCAGCUCACAUUUUUAGUUACGGAGAUAAAUCUUUACUCUGUAAUACCAAUAUUUCCAGACUUUGUGACACAGCACACGUAAGGAAUGCAUUUAAAGUAAGAUUGUUCUCUUCAAAUUAAGAUUCCUGUGUUAGAAAUGGCAACUUCAUGGACAGAUUCCUUUUCCAACGAGGAGAACAGGUAACCACAGGGCUUUGUUCAUCCCUCACCAGGAAGACUGGAACCUCCCCUAGAAGCAUUCAUUACUCUCUGGUGACUGUAAUGAUGUUGAUCAGUUGAGGCACAUAUAUCUGCUUUGUUCAUGUCCACUGCUUUGCUGCUGGUUUUGCGUUGGUUUUGGAUUUUUUUUUUGUUUGUUUUUAAAUUUUAAUUUUCUUUAAAGAAACUGGAUAAUGUUAAUUGUGUCUCUGGUUCUCUUUGUGGAUUGUUAAUCUCAGCAAUAAUCAAAUCAGUCUCAAGACCAAACUCGAGGGCUGCUAGAUAUAUCUGAUCUCCACUGUGAUCUUUAUUCUUUUUUAUAUUAAUUGCGUCAGCCUCAUUGUAAAACUGGCCUUUAAUCAGCUUACAGCCUCUCUAUUUAUCCCUAUAAUAAUAAAUAACGUAAUGUAAAAUCUACACCACAGUUUGCAGCAAAAUUUCUACCAACUUCACUAUCUUUGUAUCACCAUAAAUAAUUGAUAUUAUGUGGACAGUUGGACUGGAUGAUCUCGUAGAUCUUUUCCAACCUUGGUGAUUCUAUGACAUUGAGGGAAGAUGUGUAUGCAGUACAGAGUGAUUCUGCUCCUGUGUACUCCCCUUGUGAUAUCAGUGCUGCAUCAUUAGUCUGGGGACUUCCAGGUCAGAGGGUGCUCUCAAAUCACUGUGUCAGUGAUGGAUAUUUCCUUCCUGGAUAUACGCAGUCCUCAGUUUUCACCUUCACAGCAUUCUAUGGCAGGGAACUCUUUGGGAAGAAAUAUUUCUAUUUAUCUGUUAUGCCUCUUGUUCUUAAAUUGUAGAAGAAGUCAAUGAUACUUCUUGUUUGAACCCUGUCAUUCCCCAUCAGUGUCAUAGUUCUCUGCGCUUUGUGCCUUUUUUCCAGUUUGAAGAGGCUCUGGCUCUUUUCCACUGUGGAAAUAUGUGGAUACCUAGCAACCUGCUGUUACCAUUCCCUCUGCUGUCUGCAGUUCUGUAAAGAAUUUUCAGUGGGACAUUCCAUCAGAUGCUUUGUGAAAAUCCACAGAGACUGGGUCUAAUGCGUUAACUCUUGUCUAAGAAGCUAAUCUUCUUGUAGAGAGCUCUACCUUUGAUAAAACUCUACCUUUGAUAGAAUCCAUUUGUUGUCCUAUACUGACUGCUUUCCCUAAAACCUGUCGUAAUGAUGCUGAGUCAAGUGGUCUCUAUAAUGUUUACCCAUUUUCCUCUUUGAAUACAGAAAUGUGCAGAUUCAUGAAAGAUUCUUGCUACCCAAACUGCAUUUUCACGUGCCAAUUAUUUCACCAUUUUCAGAUGGAAAGUAUCCAGGCCCCCUGAGUUCAGUUCCUCUAUCACUGGAAAUUAUCUCUUUAAUACAAAGCUAAACCUCCUCAAUUUCUUCUGCCCACUCUAUCCUUCCUAAGCAAAUUGUAACUAGCAAUUUUUACAUUCCAGUUGUGAAGAAACCCACCAGGUUUCAGUUACGCCAAUUAUAUUACAUUUUUCAUAAUGCAAUAAGAUUUCCCAAUUCCUCUUGCUUUUUAAUUAUAUAUUCACAGGUGCUUCUGCCCUGUCCCUCUCCCUGGACAGCUGCCUAUGGUUUACUCACUACUGCAGGAUGCAUCUCUCUAGUCCUCUGGCUCCUUCUGCAAAUGUGCUUUUACUGUCUAUAUUUGUGGUCUGCUUUGAUGCAUCUUUGCAUAUCAACUCGGCUUGGGGACCCUCUGCGUGCCCUCACACCAGUGGGUCGUGAUAAAAGCUGUUGUAGAGAAGAGGAGAGCCAUCAGAUUCAGACUCACUGCUAGCAGGGCUCUGCAUCUUCGAUUUGUCUUCAUGUUUUCCAGGCACCAAAACUCUCAGCUUCUUCCAGUCUGCUGUUGUAGCAGUGAAGGAAACGCUGCAGCCAGACUCCCAUUCUUCUCUUCACUUGAAAUCCUGCCUUUGUAUGUUAAAGGAGCAGCUGC